UCCCGCAGCCCGCAACACCCGGCCCGGCCAGACGCGUGGGCCCGCGCCCGCCCUUCCCUCCCCUUCGCUUCCCUUCCCGCCCCGCUGUCCCCUCCGUGGGAGGGCGCUCGGUCCCCCCGGGGCUCCGCCGCCCUCAGCCGGGUGAUGCCCCCGCCAGGCCCCGCGGCCGCCGCCCCGCCGCCAAGCACCCCCCCCCUCCCCGGCUUCCAUCCCUCCGGCGGCCGGGCGGGAGCGGCCCGCGCUCCCCUCCCCACGGCGGGGCCUAGCGCGGCCUAGGCGUCCCCGCGGCGGCGCUGAGGGGAGGCGCGGGCGCCGGAGCCGGGGGUGCCUGGGCGGCCGGCGGGGGCCCCCGCGUUGCUGCGGCUGCGCCGGGCUGGAGGAGCUGGGAGAUUGCGCGGAGGGAGCCUUAAGAUGGGACUUGACGUCUGAUGCGCUGAAGCUGUCAAAAUUGAAGAUGUUUUCCAUGCACCCAACAGAUAACAUGGAAAAUAGAAUGAGGACAGGUACUAGGAGAAGAGUUAACAGAAGCUGGUUAAGAGCAGCUUGGAAAGCAUAAUAUUUUCAGUAAUAUUCCUUCAUUAAGGAUCUUAAAUGUUUAUUAUGCAUUUUAUGCUAAAGAUUUGGUGGAUCAGAAAUUCACUACACUUUCAUAUUGAUCAUGGUUUUAUUUUGGUUGCUGUAAAAUGCAUGUAAUUUGUUUCAGGACCAUCUGUGCCUAGUAAAAACCUCUUCCAUG